GACGAACGCUGGCGGCGUGCCUAAUACAUGCAAGUCGAGCGCAGGAAGUCAUCCGAACCCUUCGGGGGGACGUUGACGGAAUGAGCGGCGGACGGGUGAGUAACACGUAAAGAACCUGCCCUCAGGUCUGGGAUAACCACGAGAAAUCGGGGCUAAUACCGGAUGGGUCAUCGGACCGCAUGGUCCGAGGAUGAAAGGCGCUCCGGCGUCGCCUGGGGAUGGCUUUGCGGUGCAUUAGCUAGUUGGUGGGGUAAUGGCCCACCAAGGCGACGAUGCAUAGCCGACCUGAGAGGGUGAUCGGCCACACUGGGACUGAGACACGGCCCAGACUCCUACGGGAGGCAGCAGUAGGGAAUCUUCCACAAUGGACGAAAGUCUGAUGGAGCAACGCCGCGUGAACGAUGAAGGCCCUCGGGUCGUAAAGUUCUGUUGUAAGGGAAGAACAAGUGGCGCAGGCAAUGGCGGCACCUUGACGGUACCUUGCGAGAAAGCCACGGCUAACUACGUG
rnacentral:rRNA from 1 species